rnacentral:rRNA from 1 species
GUAGUCAUAUGCUUGUCUCAAAGAUUAAGCCAUGCAUGUCUAUGCACAAGCCGAUUAAUGGUGAAGCCGCGAAUGGCUCAUUGCAACAGCCACUGUUUACUUGAUCUUGACUAUCCUACUUGGAUAACUGUGGUAAUUCUAGAGCUAAUACACGCAAUAAAGCUCCGACCUUACGGGACGAGCGCAUUUAUUAGACCAAAACCAAUCGGGCUUCGGCCUGAGCCGUUGGUGACUCUGAAUAACUGAGCUGAUCGCAUGGUCUUUGUACUGGCGACGCAUCUUUCAAGUGUCUGCCUUAUCAACUUUCGAUGGUAGUUUAUGUGCCUACCAUGGUUGUUACGGGUAACGGAGAAUAAGGGUUCGACUCCGGAGAGGGAGCCUGAGAAACGUCUACCACAUCCAAGGAAGGCAGCAGGCGCGCAAAUUACCCACUCUCGGCACGAGGAGGUAGUGACGAAAAAUAACGAGGCGGUUCUCUAUGAGGCCCGCUAUCGGAAUGGGUACAAUUUGAACCCUUUAACGAGGACCUAUGAAGGGGCGAGUCUGGUGCCAGCAGCC